GCUGACUACACACUUCCCGAAAUGCAGCCUCCGUCCCAUUGCAGCUGGCACGCCAUGCACCAGCAGUGCCAAGGCAACCAGGCUGCCUGCCUGCUGGAAUUUUGGAAUCCACAGGUUCCUGCUGUCAACACAAGACAAUAGGAUUGCAUCACCAGCAUCACUAGCAGGGCUCAUUCAGGAAGUGUGACUGCAGGUGAAGGUUCAAGGCACAUUUCCCAAAGUGCACCUGCUUGGCUGUGACAGACCCCCCACACAUGAAAAGGGUUGCAGCAAGCAGACAGCAAAGGGCACUGACGGUCCUCAUUGUUUUCCAGACAGGUGAGUCUGUCAAAGCAAUGCAUAUAUUCAGCUUUUCAUUAUGAACCUUGGGUAUGAUCUAUCUCAGGGCUCAGUCCUUGGAUCAAUCAAUUCUAUUUUUCAAUUUCAAUGUUAUUUAUAUAGA